rnacentral:rRNA from 1 species
GCAGCCGCGGUAAUACGUAGGUGGCGAGCGUUAUCCGGAAUUACUGGGUGUAAAGGGUGUGUAGGCGGGAGUGCAAGUCAGACGUGAAACUUAUGGGCUCAACCCAUAAACUGCGUUUGAAACUGUGCUUCUUGAGUGUGGGAGAGGUAAACGGAAUUCCUGGUGUAGUAGUGAAAUGCGUAGAUAUCAGGAGGAACACCGGUGGCGAAGGCGGUUUACUGGACCAUAACUGACGCUGAGACACGAAAGCGUGGGGAGCAAACAGGAUUAGAUACCCC